rnacentral:rRNA from 1 species
ACGGAAGGCAGCAGUGAGGAAUAUUGGUCAAUGGGCGUGAGCCUGAACCAGCCAAGUAGCGUGAGGGAUGACUGCCUUAUGGGUUGUAAACCUCUUUUGUUUGGGAAUAAAGUCAGGGACGUGUCCCUGUUUGUAUGUACCUUUCGAAUACGCAUCGGCUAAUUCCGUGCCAGCAGCCGCGGUAAUACGGAAGAUGCGAGCGUUAUCCGGAUUUAUUGGGUUUAAAGGGAGCGUAGGCGGACUGUUAGGUCUGUGGUCAAAUGUCAGGGCCCAACCUUGGCAUGCCAUGGAAACCGGCGGUCUUGAAUACACGCAAGGCAGAUGGAAUUCGUCGUGUAGCGGUGAAAUGCUUAGAUAUGACGAAGAACUCCGAUUGCGAAGGCAGUCCGCUGGAGUGCGAUUGACGCUGAGGCUCGAAAGCGCGGGUAUCAAACAGGAUUAGAUACCCUGGUA